rnacentral:rRNA from 1 species
AUUGAACGCUGGCGGCAGGCCUAACACAUGCAAGUCGAACGAGCGGCGGCCGGGUGAGGAAUGUCUGGGAAACUGCCUGAUGGAGGGGGAUAACUACUGGAAACGGUAGCUAAUACCGCAUACAUUCAGUUGUGCCCAGAUGGGAUUAGCUAGUAGGUGGGGUAACGGCUAACCUAGGCGACGAUCCCUAGCUGGUCUGAGAGGAUGACCAGCCACACUGGAACUGAGACACGGUCCAGACUCCUACGGGAGGCAGCAGUGGGGAAUAGUGCACAAUGGGCGCAAGCCUGAUGCAGCCAUGCCGCGUGUGUGAAGAAGGCCUUCGGGUUGUAAAGCACUGUCAGCGGGGAGGCGUUACCCGCAGAAGAAGCACCGGCUAACUCCGUGCCAGCAGCCGCGGUAAUAC